rnacentral:rRNA from 1 species
AGUGAACGCUGGCGGUAGGCCUAACACAUUCAAGUCGAACGGCAGCACAGUAAGAGCUUGCUCUUACGGGUGGCGAGUGGCGGACGGGUGAGGAAUACAUCGGAAUCUACUUUUUCGUGGGGGAUAACGUAGGGAAACUUACGCUAAUACCGCAUACGACCUACGGGUGAAAGCAGGGGAUCUUCGGACCUUGCGCGAUUGAAUUAGCCGAUGUCGGAUUAGCUAGUUGGCGGGGUAAAGGCCCACCAAGGCGACGAUCCGUAGCUGGUCUGAGAGGAUGAUCAGCCACACUGGAACUGAGACACGGUCCAGACUCCUACGGGAGGCAGCAGUGGGGAAUAUUGGACAAUGGGCGCAAGCCUGAUCCAGCCAUACCGCGUGGGUGAAGAAGGCCUUCGGGUUGUAAAGCCCUUUUGUUGGGAAAGAAAAGCAGCAGGUUAAUACCCCGCUGUUCUGACGGUACCCAAAGAAUAAGCACCGGCUAACUUCGUG